GGAUUCUUCUCUUCCGAACCGUUACAGAAUGCAUUGAAUCGUUACCAUUAACGAACGUCUUAACUCUUCGAUCCACUCUUCCUCAUUCAAUGCAUCUGCACUCUCUUCCAAGAGAUGCAUCUGCAACUAUAAAAAGAAUCUUCCAACUCUUAUGCCAAAAGAUACAGUUUUGGAUGUUCUCAAAAUCUUAGUUGUUCUCUGCAAGACAUUAAUGGUUUGAUGGUUAUGACGAGAACUCAAUAUGAAUGCGGCAUAGGAAAAGUUGUCUGGUAGGGUGCUUAAAAAAAAGUUCAGAGCUGGGUUUUAUUA